GUCCUUUUCCCCUUCUCGUGCUCAUUGCAUCCUUCGCUCUCGUCGGCACGCGUUUCUGGUUCUUCUCUCUCUCUCCCCACAUGGCUUCCGCGAUAUUGUUUUCAGAGAGAAAUGAAUAUGGAUUUCGGUGGAUUGGCAGUCGCAUCUGAUUUUGGUGGAUUGGCAGUCGCAUCUGAUUUUGGUGGAUUGGCAGUCGCAUCUUUCCUCCUGGAGCACAUGUCGUCUAAGGAUGAUAAAUACAUAGAAUCUGGUCAGUUUGCAUAGAAAUAAGGAUGGGUGAUGGACUGAAAUUUUGAAGAUUUCUAGGCAUUUGUAGUUUUGAUUUAAAAGUUUGUCUUCAGUUGAUUAUCUUCGGGGAGCAAUGAGAUAAAAUUUAUGGAGUUCUGGUUGAAGUUUUGCCUGGUUUGAGAAGUGGUGAUCUAUUGUUGCAUUCUUCUUUAGGGUUGAGUUGUUUGAAAUUGGACAAAUAGCUGCUUCGUGGAGUCUAAGCAAUUAUUGGUUUGAAUGAAGUUUGUUUUCCACUUUUGCUUUUUUCCAUUUAUGGUGAGAUAAGGCCUAGCUCUCUUUCCUUUGAUGCAAGCCUCUGCUGAUUUGAUGUGGGCUGUCUUCAAUCUGUAAUUUUCUUUCUACAUUUCAUUUAACAAUCCCUUCUUUCUUUGAGAUUUUAUUGGCUUUUGUUGUUUUUGGAAAAUGGAUACUAUCUUCCAUUAUAGGGAUUGUUUAUGAGUCUGGAAAGCUUGAGAUCCACAAAGUUCUGGCUUUUUUCUAUUUGUCCUUGCAAUGCAUGCUGCAAUCACUAAAUUGAUUGCUGGUAAAUCAUGGAGAUAUUGCAAUUGCAAUUUAUUCGUCUCGCCUUUGUUAUUUUCUGAAUACUAGCUUCACACAAUUUGGUUAGCUUGGGCUUUCUUUCUUUGCAAUUGAUGUGUUUUCUUUUGAUACAGAACCUUUGGUGGAACUAUUCCAUUUACCAGGUGAUUUCCAUGCUUUGGGUGAUUUCCAGUGCAUUGGCUCUAGCUUCUUUUCUUGCGGAGCGAUCUUUUGAUUGAGGAUGUUGUCUAAGGAAUGGUACAUCUGAUGAGGUUGGUCAAUUAUUACUUAGAAUAAUUGGGUGAAGAACUGAAAUUUCGAUGAACUCUUGCUGCAUAGGCACUUGGGUUUUUGUUGAAUAUCAUUCCUCAGUCGAUUCCCUUGAAGUGGAAGGAUAUUUUCUUUGUUCCUAUUCCUUUAUAGGUUGGAUUUCUGCCAGACUCGCCUUUUCAGUGCAGCUGAGUUGAUUAAUCGUGGAGUCUGAGCUUUGUUUGAAAUUGGAUAAGCUCCCGCUUCUUGGAUUUUGGUUUUUUUGAUAUGUGUAUAUGGAUCAAUCCCUAAUCAAUUGAUAUUUUGUCAUUCUUUUAUGAUAGGGUGUGUGAGAACUUGCUUGACUUGUGCUUAGAGGGUUUGACGUUCCACAUAAGAUCUCUGAUUGUCAUUGGAUGGCCUCUCUGUUGGACAUAGUUGCAAAAGGAGAGUACCAAGUCUCCAUAGUUGCAAUAAGAUAUCUGUAUGGGUUUGCUUGGCCAACAUUUUCCACUGCUGUAAUGCUUUCUUCUGAUACAGUUAUUGUCGGGGACAUUUUACAAAUUAGGUGUUUUGUAGGAGAUAUGGGUUGUUUUUAGUUCGUAGUGCCACCUUGAGGGCUUACUUUUUGAAUAUUUUAGGUUCUCGUUGAUCCAUGGGACUAUGAAGACUUUUAUACUUCGUUGCAAACUGUUAGCAUCUCAUUCUAAAAGGAUGAACUGGUGCUGUGCUUAUGUUUUUUAGCUCUUAAUAACAUACACCACGUAGGUACCUUUGAUAACUGGAAGGUCUCUUUUGUCUUGUGUUUCAUGAUUGGCAUAUGUGAUCAGGCCUCACAUGGGGAUGUUGACAGGACAAACAUCUAGACACAACUCCCUUGGUAUUGUUUGCACUCUGACCGAAUCUCUCCUUUCUGCUGAUUCUCUUGUUUCUUAUCCAUCACAAAGCUGUGUUGUGUCUUGUAUGCUGUCAGCAGACAUGGCUGGUCUGGCUGGGAGGAGUAGACAGUUGGUGCUUGGUUGGCAUGUUUGUCAAAUUUUGUAGUUAUUUUUACAUGGCUGAAACUGAAGGGGCAGAUGACAAUCCUGCAUAAGCAUUGGUUUGAGGUUUUAACAUAUUUGGUGAGCAUGGACCCCUUUUGAUCUCUUAUGAUACCCUAAUGUAUGAUGGGUGAGCUUCUACUAUGUAUAUAUGAUCUUAUAUUUAAUCAAGCAUAGCUGUUGAAGCUCUUUAGAGCUAUGAAUAUAUAGAUGUCCAAUUGCAGCGUGAUCCUUUGCCAAUGAUGAUCUGUUGACCAGGUAUUCUAAUUCAUGGUUCUACUGUAUCUCUUUCUCAUCGGCUUUACAAGGAUUGAUCAAAGUCAUCUUCCUUGUAAAUAGAGAUACUAAAAGGUCGCCUUAUGAUCAGUUUCAUUUACUUUGGUAUUUACUUUGAAGGCAUGAAUUUUGAAGUAUCUGGCUGGGUCUAUUUCCAGAACAAUGUUGGUGAGGGCUCUGAUUUUAUACAGAAAGGUUUAUCAAAGUUAUUAAGGUUCAAGCCUCCAUCUGAUCAUAUCAACUAAUUUUGGGGCUUCUAAUGCUAUACAGAUAUUCAGUUGUCGAUGGGUGCUUGUUCUAAGUUAGAGCGAUCCCACUAAGGAUCGUGUGAGGAUGCUAAUUGAUCAAAACUAUUAGAGAAUUCUAGUUCUUGAGUUGGGGAAGGCAGGAGGUUAUUAUUUAAUACAAUUAUAUGUUUAGUUGAGAUACUGGAUUGUUGUUUUUCUUUAUGGACUGGAGUGAUGAGCAAUGUCUGGAUCUUUCCAUAGGGUUGUCUUAUUUUUAUUUUCGAGGAGAUGCAAUGAACAUCUAGUUCUCUUCCUGUUGUAGGUUGGAGUCCUUUUGUUGCAAAUCAUGCUGAAUUCGACCUGGUUUGUGUUGUAGUGUAUUGACCCAUUUUACUAACUUUUGGGGGAAUGAUUUGACUUAGCAAGCUUUUGCUUUUUCCUUCUCCAGGGGGAUUUUUGGUAUAAAUAGUUUAUUUUGGGUGCCUGUUCAAGUCUCUUCCUUUGAUGAUGUCCUGCACUCUAUCUUCGUCUGCAAACUUUACUGGGUACUACUACAAUUACUACAAUUGACUAGUGUCCAAGGCUAAGUAUAGUUGUUGCUUAGCUUGGUCAUUUGGGGCUUUUACUUUUGGCUUCUUCUGCAGGUACUUUUGGUGUAAAUGGUUAAUUUUGGGUUCCAAUUCAAAGUCUCUCUCUUUGGUGAUGUCGUCCUCUCAUCUUUUUGUGUGAACUUCACUGGAUAAAACUACAAUUGAGAUCUGUUUCAAGGCUAAGUCUAGUUUUUGCUUUCCUUGGUGACUUGGUGGCACACAUUGAUGGCAGUUUGACUUAUCGGAGGCUUCUACCUCAUGAGAUGGAAAUUGAUGGCAUGUAUUCACUAACAUCAUGGCAGAUUAUUUAUUUCUACUUUGAAUUGGUUUGGUGCAGUCCGUAGAAGCUCUCUAUUCGAGAUUCUCUUUAUAUUGAAGAACCAGUUGAUAUAAAUUUUCCUGACAAAGUUACCUUGGGAAGUGUUUGAUUUAGCUCCUCCUUUUAUUGAUACAAUGACUGAUCGAUCUUUCCGUUAUCUAGUAAAUUUGCAGUGGUUUCUUUCCCUUCAGAGCGAACUGUUUGUCUGAGGAUGUCAAGGAUGAUGAAUACUAUGAAUAUUAUGUCUUGGAUGUUUGGGCUUUUUGGAGGACUGGUGAUCCUUUUGCUGUAUUUUUUUUUUUUUGGGUUGAGACAAUGAAUUAGUAGUCUUUGAUCAUGUCGAACUCCGGCGAGAUAGACUGGAAUUUACUGGUUUCGAUGGGAAUUUGUUCUUCAGUUUCUUUUAUCUUUGGGAGUUCUCUCACAGGCUGGAGUCUUGCCAGACUUGACAAGUGGUGAUCUGCCGCGAGCUGAUGAUUGUCUGAAAUUGGAUAAGUUCUUUGGUUUCAUGAGGCAGUUAUCGGUUUGAAUGAAACAUGUCCUUUACUUCUGUUCUUUUCUAUUUAAUCCGAAAGAUCAGAUCUAGUUCUCAUCCCUUCGCAGAUCAGAGUUUGGUUGAGGCAAUAUUUUAUAUGACCAGGUUCGAUAUGGAGUUUCUGGGAUUAAUGAUGUUCUUUCUUGCUGCAUAUGUAUCAAUUUCUAAUUUGUCUUCCACUUCUGUUUUCUUUUAGUUGAGAUGGGGAGCGAUGUGGUGUUCUCUUUCCUUGGCAGGUCAGAGUUGAGGCAAUAUCAUCAAUUUUGAUAUGGACUUUCUAUGCUCAGUGAUGGUUCUUUCUUGCUGCAUUAGCAUUGAUUAAUAGGACAAGCUCUUCUUUAAGAGUUCUUUCUUGUCUGGAAAGGUCCACACAAGUUCUAUCUUGUUUCUCUUCACUCUUAUUUGUGCGCUACGAUUGCUAAUUGGAUCUCUUUGGUAAAUCAUGGAGAUGGCAUGUGUUAGAGUUAUACGUCAUGCUCUUUUUUCUGGCCUGGAAUUGGCACCAGGAUUACCUAGAUUGGUUCACCUUCCUCUUCUGUAUUUUCUUUUGGUCCAGAACAAGAGGUCAUUUGGUGUUCUUUCCAUGUGAGGUCGUUUGAGUUGGUUGGGCUCCGUCAAUGGCCAUAUAAAUGUCUAAAUUGUAGGUUUUCUUUGGUUAUUGGGACUUUGAAGGCUUAUUCCUGACAGAAUAAGUUUUACUUCAGGGCAUACUGGUAGUGUAUGCAGUCUUUGUUUGGUUGAGUUCUGAAGGUAGUAGUCUCUGAUCACAUCUUCAGGAUGGGUGAUGGACUGAAAUUUUGAAGAUUUCUGGGCAUUUUGUACUUUUGAUUUAAGUUUGUCCUCAGUUGAUUAUCUUGAGGAAGCAGUGAGAUAAUUAAGUUCUAAUUCAUCUACAGGUUGAAGUUUUGCUGGGUUUGAGAAGUGGUGUUCUAUUGCAUUCUUCUGUAGGGCUGAGUUGAUGAUCGUUUGAAAUUGGGCAAACAGUCGCUUUGUGUGGAUUCUAGGCAGUUAUUGGUUCGAAUGAAGUUUGUUUUCCACUUCUGCUUUUUUCCAUUUAUGGUGAGAUGAUUAGGGCCUAGUUCUUUUUCCUUCAAUGCAAGCCUCUUCUGGUUUGAUGUGGACUGUCUUCAAUCUCUGAUGGUUCAUUCUAGAUUUCAUUUAAUAAGCUCUUCUUUAUUUGAGCUUUUAUUGUCUUUUGCUGUUUUCAGAAUAUGAAUAAUCAUUGACUAUUUUCCAUUGUAGGGAUUGUUUAUGAGUCUGGAAAGCUUGAGAUCCACUAAGUUCUGGCUUGUUUCUCUUUGUUCUUGCAGCAUCACUAAAUCAAUUGCUGCUAGAUCAUGGAGAUAUCGCAAGUGCAAUUCAUUUGUCUGGCCUUUCUUUUUUCCGAAUACUAGCUUCGCACAAAUUAGUUAAGCUUAGGCUUUCAUUCUAUAUGUAUUGAUGUGUUUCUUUUUGGUAUAAAACCUUUAGUGGAACUUUUUUAGUUACCAGGUGAUUUCUCUAUGCUUUAGGUGGUUGUUGAGGAGUGGUCGUGGACAUCCUUAGUGUUUACGCUACUACUUUGAUCAUUUAUUGAUGGAUUGAUCCAUCCUUUUGUUGUUGUAGAGCUGUUUCUGGAUUUAUAAUCCAGUGGAUUGGUAGUUGCUUCUUUUCUCACAGAGUGACCUCCGAUUUUGGCUAGAUCAUGGAGAUAUUGCAAGUGCAAUUCAUUUGUCUAGCCUUUCUUUUUUCCGGAUACUAGCUUCACACAAUUUAGUUAGCUUAGGCUAUCAUUCUAUACGUAUUGAUGUGUUUCUUUUUGUUAUAAAACCUUUGGUGGAACUUUUUUAGUUACCAGGGGAUUUCUCUAUGCUUUAGGUGGUUGUUGAGGAGUGGUCGUGGACAUCCUUAGUGUUUACGCUACUACUUUGAUCAUUUAUUGAUGGAUCGAUCCAUCCUUUUGUUGUUGUAGAGCUGUUUCUGGAUUUAUAAUCCAGUGGAUUGGUAGUUGCUUCUUUUCUCAUGGAGCGACCUUCGAUUUUGGCUAGAUCAUGGAGAUAUUGCAAGUGCAAUUCAUUUGUCUAGCCUUUCUUUUUUCCGGAUACUAGCUUCACACAAUUUAGUUAGCUUAGGCUUUCAUUCUAUACGCAUUGAUGUGUUUCUUUUUGGUAUAAAACCUUUGGUGGAACUUUUUUAGUUACCAGGCGAUUUCUCUAUGCUUUAGGUGGUUGUUGAGGAGUGGUCGUGGACAUCCUUAGUGUUGACGCUACUACUUUGAUCAUUUAUUGAUGGAUCGAUCCAUCCUUUUGUUGUUUUAGAGCUGUUUCUGGAUUUAUAAUCCAGUGGAUUGGUAGUUGCUUCUUUUCUCACGGAGUGAUCUCCAAUUUUGGCUGUCUUUAUGAUAGAGGGCGUGUGAGAACUAGCUCAACUUUGCUUUGAGGAUUUCAUAAGAUCUCUGAUUGACAUUAGAUGGCCUCUCUGUCGGACAUACUUGCAAAAAGGAGAGUACUAAGUCGCAUAUGGGUUUGUUUGGCCUACAUAUUCCACUGCUGUAAUACUUUCUUCUGGUACAGUAACAUUGUUGGGACAUUUACAAAAUGAGGUGUUCUCUUAUGAUACCCUUAUGUACAACGGGUGAACCUCUACUUUGUAUAUAUUAUCUAAUUUAAUCAAGCAUAGCUGUUGAAGUUCUUUAGGGCUAUGACUUUAUAGAUGUCCAAUGGCAGCGUGAUCCUUUGCUAAUGAUGAUGUGUCGACAGGAUCAUUUGCCAAUGAUGAUCUGUUGACCAGAUAUUCUAGUUCAUGGUUCUACUGUAUCUCUUUCUCAUCAGCUCUGCAAGGGUCUUAUGAAGUCAUCUUCCUUGUAAUUGGAGAUACUAAAUGGUUGCCUUAUGAUUGGUUUCAUUUGCUUUG